UUAAAAUUUCCUUAAAGCUUACAUAAAAAGUAAACUAUUAAAUGCACAGAAAUUUCACCAUGUUUUAAAUUACAUCUCAGUUUAUACUUUAAGCUGAUAAAGUAUGCUUUUUUAAGGUGCCUUAAUAAUCCUUUACUAUUUUGUUAAAAUGGCAAAGAAUAAAAACAGAAAUUAACAAUCAUUAUUGUGGAACUUAAUGUAAUGUUACUUAACAAAGUAGUAAAUGAUGUUUUCAUUCCUCAAAACAAACAUAAACAGUUUAGUGACAGAGGUUUUACAACAAAAACAAUACUUAUCCUUAACACUAAAUGUAGCAGGUAUCUUCAGUUUUACAUCUCUCCGAAUAUGAUCUGUUGUCUCCAGUUUUUAACUAAAACACAGAAGCUAAUUUUACCCAAUCCAUUUUCAGAUGUGUGAUGUAAGAUCUAUUAGCUCCAGUUCACACUCCAGACCAGAUGGUGAUGAUAAUGCACACUUUUCAAAAAACUGAAAGUUUAUAAAGAGUAUAGAGAGCCUUGAUAAUAGUAGUUUUGAUAAAUUCAAGCUGGUGCUGUCCUAUGCAGAGUUAAAUGAUAACACAACAGAACAAGAACUGGAUGGAAAUUAAAUUUGGGUCACGAAAGGAGCCCGAAAGGACGAAGACUGUUAACGUGUUGCUAGCUGGUGUCAAAGCAAAUGAAGACGAAAAAGGAAGCCAGGGAUCGGGAAUUAGAAAACCUAAAGACUUUCCUGUCUCAGAGGCUCUGGCUCCACCAGAUCACCAACCAGUUCUGAGGAUGAACCUCCAUGUCUUCAUAGGGUACAGCAAGUUUUUUUUCCCUUGUCUACGGAACUGGUGUGUUUCCAAUAAUAAAUGUUAAUAAACAUGAUUUGAUUGAAAAGUAAUUGGACAGAAUUUAUUCCCCUUAAAAUGUAUGAAACAUUUCGGUUUCAUACAUUUUGUUUGUUGUCCUGUUGCCCUGUGAUGGGUGAAUCCCACCUCUCAUCUGAUGACUGCUGGAGAUGGGCACCACCAGCCCCCCUCAACACCCUCUAAGGAUCAGUGUGUUCAGAUCACGGAUGGAAAGAUUUUAAGGUAGUUUGUCUCCCUGAAAUCCACAAGUAAGCCACACUUUAUAGCUAACACCAUCCUACUUCUAACAUAAACAGGCAAAGAAGUCACCUAGAAAUGUUUUUUCACCCCAGGCAUCUGGUCCCAAUCAUCACACUAAUUCUGAUGCCACAUACAAAGCAAGUCUACAAUGUCCUAAAAUUGUUUCUGUAAAGUACAAUGAAUGGGAAAGUUCUGUCAGUGAUCCUCACUGUUCCUAAGAUGGAGAGAUCUUUGUUUGUCUGGAGUAAUACUGGAAUACUGUGGCAUUGAAUUAAAACAAUAUUUACGAUAAAGUGUCCCAAUUUUUUGUAUUGUGCUAAUUUUUAUAAGCAUAUCUGUAAACAUAAUAUAUUUGCAGUCUGUGAGUGAUGGUGUAUUAACAAUUUACACUUGAAAAAUAUGAACAUAUUGAAUAAACAUUGUA